rnacentral:rRNA from 1 species
GUGAGGAAUUUUCCGCAAUGGGCGAAAGCCUGACGGAGCAAUGCCGCGUGAAGGAUGAAGGCCUAUGGGUUGUAAACUUCUUUUCUCAGAAAAGAAUUAUGACGGUAUCUGAGGAAUAAGCAUCGGCUAACUCUGUGCCAGCAGCCGCGGUAAGACAGAGGAUGCAAGCGUUAUCCGGAAUGAUUGGGCGUAAAGCGUCUGUAGGUUGUUUAAAAAGUAUUCUGUCAAAGAUUAGGGCUUAACCCUAGAUAGGCAGAAUAAACUUUUAAGCUAGAGUUUGGUAGAGGCAGAGGGAAUUCCCGGUGGAGCGGUGAAAUGCGUAGAUAUCGGGAGGAACACCAAAGGCGAAGGCACUCUGCUGGGCAAAUACUAACACUGAGAGACGAAAGCGAGGGGAGCAAAUGGGAUUAGAAACCCUGGUAGUCC